CCUACGGGGAGCAGCAGUGAGGAAUCUUGGUCAAUGGGCGCGAGCCUGAACCAGCCAAGUAGCGUGAAGGAUGACUGCCCUACUGGUUGUAAACUUCUUUUAUAAAGGAAUAAAGUGAGGCACGUGUGCCUUUUUGUAUGUACUUUAUGAAUACGGAUCGGCUAACUCCGUGCCAGCAGCUGCGGUAAUACGGAGGAUCCGAGCGUUAUCCGGAUUUAUUGGGUUUAAAGGGAGCGUAGAUGGGUUGUUAAGUCAGUUGUGAAAGUUUGCGGCGCAACCGUAAAAUUGCAAUUGAUACUGGCAGACUUGAGUACAGAUGAGGUAGGCGGAAUUCGUGGUGUAGCGGUGAAAUGCGUAGAUAUCACGAAGAACUCCGAUUGCGAAGGCAGAUUGCUAAACUGCCACUGACAUUGAUGCUCGAAAGUGUGGGUAUCAAACAGGAUUAGAUACCCGAGUAGUC
rnacentral:rRNA from 1 species